AAACGUAGGAGACGAGCGUUAUCCGGAUUUACUGGGCGUAAAGCGCGUGUAGGAGGCAGAUCAAGUUGGAUGUAAAAUCUCCCGGCUUAACUGGGAGGCGUCGUUCAAAACUGUUGAGCUAGAGUAGCGGAGAGGUAAUCGGAACUCCGGGAGUAGCGGUGAAAUGCGUAGAUAUCCGGAAGAACACCAGAGGCGAAAGCGGAUUACUGGCCGCCAACUGACACUGAGACGCGAAAGCCAGGGUAGCAAACGGGAUUAGAGACCCCGGUAGUCCUGGCCGUAAACGAUGUAGACUCGUCGUUUGGGAGGUAAAACUUCUGAGUGACAAAGCAAACGCGAUAAGUCUACCGCCUGGGGAGUACGGUCGCAAGAUUAAAACUCAAAUGAAUUGACGGGG
rnacentral:rRNA from 1 species